rnacentral:misc_RNA from 1 species
AUCUACUAUGACUCGUGAAGAACUUAUGUCUUUCAUCUCCCUGAUGGAUUAUUCCGUUUCACAAACAUUUCCAAUGGAUCCAAUGAAACAGCUACCAAUGACAAAUAUUGAUGGAUUUGGCAACUACAAUCUUGAAGUGCGGGGUGCACCUGGCUCAUACUUAAGUAACAGCAGCGUUCUUAACCUAUAUUUUCUAGAUAGUGGAGAUAGAGCUAUUGUUGACGGUGUCCG